AGUGAACGCUGGCGGUAGGCCUAACACAUGCAAGUCGAACGGCAGCACAGUAAGAGCUUGCUCUUACGGGUGGCGAGUGGCGGACGGGUGAGGAAUACAUCGGAAUCUACUUUUUCGUGGGGGAUAACGUAGGGAAACUUACGCUAAUACCGCAUACGACCUACGGGUGAAAGCAGUGGAUCUUCGGACCUCGCGCGAUUGAAUGAGCCGAUGUCGGAUUAGCUAGUUGGCGGGGUAAAGGCCCACCAAGGCGACGAUCCGUAGCUGGUCUGAGAGGAUGAUCAGCCACACUGGAACUGAGACACGGUCCAGACUCCUACGGGAGGCAGCAGUGGGGAAUAUUGGACAAUGGGCGCAAGCCUGAUCCAGCCAUACCGCGUGGGUGAAGAAGGCCUUCGGGUUGUAAAGCCCUUAUGUUGGGAAAGAAAAGCAGCAGGUUAAUACCCCGCUGUUCUGGCGGUACCCAAAGAAUAAGCACCGGCUAACUUCGUG
rnacentral:rRNA from 1 species